UACGAAGGGGGCUAGCGUUGUUCGGAAUUACUGGGCGUAAAGCGCAUGUAGGCGGAUAUUUAAGUCAGGGGUGAAAUCCCGCAGCUCAACUGCGGAACUGCCUUUGAUACUGGGUAUCUUGAGUAUGGAAGAGGUGAGUGGAAUUCCGAGUGUAGAGGUGAAAUUCGUAGAUAUUCGGAGGAACACCAGUGGCGAAGGCGGCUCACUGGUCCAUUACUGACGCUGAGGUGCGAAAGCGUGGGGAGCAAGCAGG
rnacentral:rRNA from 1 species